rnacentral:misc_RNA from 1 species
AUCAGUUGUUUAUUUUUCGUUUACUGUGGUUUAACCUCACUUAACUAGAUAGAUCGAGAAAUAUUAAAUUACUAUUACUAUUAUUCAGGUUGAAAAAUGCCUUCCUGUAAGGUAAAAGGUUGCGAAGUCGAUUGGGGAAAAAUAAUGUGAAAAUGAAUUCUUUCCCAAAAGAAUCUGAACGACGGAAAGUGUGGAUUAAAAAUAUAGGGUUAAAACAAGAUCCAAACAAAUAUGCUGUUGUUUGUGAAAAAAACUGUAAAUAGUAACGAUUUUGAAUGAGUGAGAAGUCUAAUAAAGCCACGACGAGAUACUGUAUUAGAGCGUACGAUUUGGAGGUAUUUUUGAUUAGAUACAUUUUGUAAAGUACAAUAUAAAUUAGAUUUGAUAAUGUGUAGUAUUUCCUAAUAAAUUAAAUACUAUUAAGUGUUUAUUGUUCUUGUAAGUUAGUGUGGUAAAUAAAUAAUAUGAAGUAAG